UCUACGGUUACGCAGCAGUGUUCUUAAAGUACAAUUUAUUAAAAAUUUAGUAGUCAAGAAAAAGGGUUACGCUCGUUAUAUGAAUCCAAUCAACCACUUUACAGCACGAGCUGACGGCAGCCAUGCAACACCUGUAUUUAAUCAAGAAUUAAUUAAGUGUAAAAAAUUCGUUAAAUAUGCAAAAGCUGGUAAGAUUUUUUGCGGAGUAUCUAAUUAACAUACAUGCUCCACCGCUUGUAAAUACUCCCGUCAAUCUUCUUGAGUUUCAAUCUUGCGAUCGUAAUCCCCAGGCGGAAUAUUUAACGCGUUAGCUUUGGUAACUGAAUUUUUUUAAAAUCCAAUUCAUAAUAUUCAUAGUUUGCAGUAUGGACUAC
rnacentral:misc_RNA from 1 species